rnacentral:rRNA from 1 species
UACGUAGGGUGGAGGCGUUAAUCGGAAUUACUGGGCGUAAAGCGUGCGCAGGCGGUUUGCUAAGACAGGUGUGAAAUCCCCGGGCUUAACCUGGGAACUGCGCUUGUAACUGGCAAGCUUGAGUGUGGCAGAGGGGGGUGGAAUUCCACGUGUAGCAGUGAAAUGCGUAGAGAUGUGGAGGAACACCGAUGGCGAAGGCAGCCCCCUGGGCUAACACUGACGCUCAUGCACGAAAGCGUGGGGAGCAAAAAGG